rnacentral:misc_RNA from 1 species
GAUGAAGAACGUAGCGAAAUGCGAUAAGUAAUGUGAAUUGCAGAAUUCAGUGAAUCAUCGAAUCUUUGAACGCACAUUGCGCCCGCCAGUAUUCUGGCGGGCAUGCCUGUUCGAGCGUCAUUUCAACCCUCAAGCCCCCGGGCUUGGUGUUGGGGAUCGGCGUGCCCUCGCGGCGCGCCGUCCCCUAAAUCUAGUGGCGGUCUCGCUGUAGCUUCCUCUGCGUAGUAGCAACACUCGCACUGGAUCGCAGCGCGGCCACGCCGUUAAACCCCCCACUUCUGAAAGUUUGACCUCGGAUUAGGUAGGGAUACCCGCUGAACUUAAGCAUAUCAAUAAGCGGAGGA